AUGGAUACCUGGCUUCUAUUCUGGGUGAUUCUUAGUGUCCUGAAAGCAGGACACACACAGCCUAAAGUCACCCAGACCCCGAGCCAUCACAGAGAUGGGACAGAGAGUAAUUUUAAGGUGUGAUCCCAUUUCUGGUCACUUAUACUUCUACUGGUACCAACAGAUCUUGGGGCAGAAAGUGGAGUUUUUGGUUUAUUUCUUUGAUGAUAAGAUCUCAGAGAAGUCUGAAAUAUUCGACAAUCGAUUCUCAGUUGAAAGACACAAUGGAUCAUAUAUCACACUGAAGAUCCAGUCCACAAAGCUGCAGGACUCCGCUGUGUACUUCUGUGCCAGCAGCUAA